CAGCGCCGUCCCCAGCCUCCGCUCAGUGAAAGGGCAGUCCCAGGCCCCUCGUUGUUUUUGGGGUCGCGCUGGUGGUGACACGGCGAGCGCAGGGCCAGAGCUCACGGCUCCUCCUCCCUUACAGGCCUCGACGAGGGAAGCGGCGGCUCGACCACAGGGAGCGAACGUUCCACCUGAGCGCUGUGCUUGCUUCAGCCGGCCCCGCGUGCCGGUGGGGUUUGUGGACGGGCGUAGCUCCGCUUUCUCAGCCUCUGGAAUCUCCUCGGGCUUCCGCUCAGCAAGGGGUUGGAACGGGAUGAUCGUGGAGGUCCUGGUCAGGCCAGGCUGUUCCGUGAUUCCAUGAUUCUAGGAUUCCAGGAUUCUGUGAGUCCAUGAUUCUAAGAUUUUAUGAUUCCGUGAAUCCAUGAUUUGAUGAUUCUGUGAAUCCAUGAUUUUAUAAUUCUGUGAUUCCAUGAUUAAAUGAUACCAUGAUUCUGUGAUUCCAUGAUUUGAUGAUUCCGUGAUAACAUGAUUGUAUGAGUCCGUGAUUUUAUGAUCCCAUGACUCUGUGAUUCCAUGACUCCGUGUGUCUAGGAUCUCCAUGUCUGUGUGCGCAAUCCCCCGUCUCGCCACUAGGGGGCGUGCAUGCGUUAUUGCAUUAAGGUCUGAAGCGCCGCGCUCCUCCCAGCGCCGAAUUCGGGGCGCUCCGAGUGGCGCCCCCCGGCGGUCACUGCGGGAGGAGCAGCGGGACUGCAGGACCGGGCCGUGGUUUGUGCAUUGGAGAUCGGGAAACGGGAACCGAGCUGAAGAAGCAGAGCGCAGCGUGUGUUGCAGCUUGCCCAGGGAAACAGCUCGUUUGGAACAGUAGACAUACCGUGUGUUUCAGCAGUGUGUUUUAAAAAUAGAGUUGUUGGAUGACGUGA